UACAGAGGGGGCAAGCGUUGUUCGGAAUACUGGGCGUAAAGGCGCGUAGGCGGCCUUCUAAGUCGAACGUGAAAUCCCCGGGCUCAACCCGGGAACUGCGUCUGAUACUGGAUGGCUAGAGAUUGGGAGAGGGAUGCGGAAUUCCAGGUGUAGCGGUGAAAUGCGUAGAUAUCUGGAGGAACACCCGUGGCGAAGGCGGCCCCCUGGGCCGUACCUGACGCUGAGGCGCGAAGGCUAGGGGAGCGAACGGG
rnacentral:rRNA from 1 species